rnacentral:rRNA from 1 species
AACGAACGCUGGCGGCAUGCCUAACACAUGCAAGUCGAACGAGAUCUUCGGGUCUAGUGGCGCACGGGUGCGUAACGCGUGGGAAUCUGCCCUUUGGUUCGGAAUAACAGUUGGAAACGACUGCUAAUACCGGAUGAUGACGAAAGUCCAAAGAUUUAUCGCCAGAGGAUGAGCCCGCGUAGGAUUAGCUAGUUGGUGUGGUAAAGGCGCACCAAGGCGACGAUCCUUAGCUGGUCCGAGAGGAUGAUCAGCCACACUGGGACUGAGACACGGCCCAGACUCCUACGGGAGGCAGCAGUGGGGAAUAUUGGACAAUGGGCGAAAGCCUGAUCCAGCAAUGCCGCGUGAGUGAUGAAGGCCUUAGGGUUGUAAAGCUCUUUUACCCGGGAUGAUAAUGACAGUACGGGGAGAAUAAGCUCCGGCUAACUCCGUGCCAGCAGCCGCCGUAA